GGGGCCGUAGCUCAGCUGGGAGAGCGCAUGCAUGGCAUGCAUGAGGUCGUCGGUUCGAUCCCGAUCGGCUCCA
rnacentral:tRNA from 1 species